GAACGCUGGCGGCGUGCCUAAUACAUGCAAGUCGAACGGUCUUUCUAUGGAAGCUUGCUUCCACUGAGAAGAUAGUGGCGAACGGGUGAGUAACACGUGGGUAACCUGCCCAUAAGAGGGGGAUAACAUCCGGAAACGGGUGCUAAUACCGCAUAGUUUUCUUGAUCGCAUGAUUGAGAAAGGAAAGACGGCCUUUGUGCUGUCGCUUAUGGAUGGACCCGCGGCGUAUUAGUUAGUUGGUGAGGUAACGGCUCACCAAGACGAUGAUACGUAGCCGACCUGAGAGGGUGAUCGGCCACAUUGGGACUGAGACACGGCCCAAACUCCUACGGGAGGCAGCAGUAGGGAAUCUUCCGCAAUGGACGAAAGUCUGACGGAGCAACGCCGCGUGAGUGAAAGAAGGUUUUCGGAUCGUAAAACUCUGUUGUCAGAGAAGAACAAGUUGGAGAGUAACUGCUCCAGCCUUGACGGUAUCUGACCAGAAAGCCACGGCUAACUACGUGCCAGCCGCGGC
rnacentral:rRNA from 1 species